CAUGCAAGUCGAACGGAAAGGCCUCUUCGGAGGUACUCGAGUGGCGAACGGGUGAGUAACACGUGGGCAAUCUGCCCUGCACUUCGGGAUAAGCCUGGGAAACUGGGUCUAAUACCGAAUAGGACCUUUAGACGCAUGUCUUUUGGUGGAAAGCUUUUGCGGUGUGGGAUGGGCCCGCGGCCUAUCAGCUUGUUGGUGGGGUGAUGGCCUACCAAGGCGACGACGGGUAGCCGGCCUGAGAGGGUGUCCGGCCACACUGGGACUGAGAUACGGCCCAGACUCCUACGGGAGGCAGCAGUGGGGAAUAUUGCACAAUGGGCGCAAGCCUGAUGCAGCGACGCCGCGUGGGGGAUGACGGCCUUCGGGUUGUAAACCUCUUUCACCAUCGACGAAGGUCCGGGUUUUCUCGGAUUGACGGUAGGUGGAGAAGAAGCACCGGCCAACUACG
rnacentral:rRNA from 1 species